UUGAAGGUUGGGUAACACUAACUGGAGGACCGAACCGACUAAUGUUGAAAAAUUAGCGGAUGACCUGUGGCUGGGGGUGAAAGGCCAAUCAAACCGGGAGAUAGCUGGUUCUCCCCGAAAGCUAUUUAGGUAGCGCCUCGUGAACUCAUCUCCGGGGGUAGAGCACUGUUUCGGCUAGGGGGCCAUCCCGGCUUACCAACCCGAUGCAAACUGCGAAUACCGGAGAAUGUUAUCACGGGAGACACACGGCGGGUGCUAACGUCCGUCGUGAAGAGGGAAACAACCCAGACCGCCAGCUAAGGUCCCAAAGUCAUGGU
rnacentral:rRNA from 1 species